ACUCCUACGGGAGGCAGCAGUGGGGAAUAUUGCACAAUGGGCGCAAGCCUGAUGCAGCCAUGCCGCGUGUAUGAAGAAGGCCUUCGGGUUGUAAAGUACUUUCAGCAGUGAGGAAGGUGGGUAUGUUAAUAGCAUAUUCAUUUGACGUUAGCUGCAGAAGAAGCACCGGCUAACUCCGUGCCAGCAGCCGCGGUAAGUACGGAGGGUGCGAGCGUUAAUCGGAAUUACUGGGCGUAAAGCGCAUGCAGGUGGUUUGUUAAGUCAGAUGUGAAAGCCCGGGGUCUCAACCGUCGGAAUUGCAUUUGAAACUGGCAAACUAGAGUACUGGUAGAGGGGGUUAGAAUUUCGAGGUGUAGC
rnacentral:rRNA from 1 species